UUAAUAGGUACUCAGACAGAAGCCCAGGCAACAUACACAUAUAAUCAAUUACAUCUUUCUGUAACUAUCACGUUUGAUUUCAGAUUUACUCUGAGUGCGCAGUCUUAUACGGGACAGUGACUCACUAACAAUACCUUUCCCUCCAUAUUCAGUGUUUUAUUUUCUCCCUUUACAUACAAUCCAAAGAAUAUCAUUGUAAAGUCAGGUUUUAUAUGCUGACAAGCACAGAACCAAACAAACCCAAUAUACAUCAGUAAAGAGUUCUAUUCUGCUAAAAAGAGUUUAAUGAUCCAAAUAAGCACUACCAUCAAUAAGAACUUCAAUGAGGUCAUAGAGUUUGAUUUGUAAAAACUUUGGCCCUUUCUUUAUCUAUUUUCUUGGCCAUAUUCAAAGUAGAGAAAAAAAUAUAAAGAACUGUCCAAACUUUAUGCACUUUGUGUUUGAGUCCAAAAAUUUUUAUUCCGAUUACUAGAGUCAGAAAAGUUACACAAUUCAGUUUCUUAUUACUCAAAUUGAAAAGGCUAUGUUUAUACUGUUAAGACACUUAUACUUUAUACAUUAUUACCUAUAUAUUUAGAAAGAAUACAGGUGACAUUCAGUACCUUUUGUUACAAAAGGGAAGGAAAAAAAAAAAAAAACGAGAAAAGAAAUUUUGUCAAACUGCUUCAAAACUUUGUUUUGUAGAAAUACCCCAGUUGAGGUUACAAUGCAUGUAAUAACAAUUCAAAAGUAAACACCUAGAAAAUAAUCUAG
rnacentral:lncRNA from 1 species